AUGGGAAUAUGCCUUCUUCUGUUGGACACUUCUGUUCAAGAAAUUGGAUAAUCUUUCUUUUGGUUCACUGGAAAAGAACCACUCUGCUACCCUGGUUUUGAAGUUCUCGCGUGAGUUACGUAAAAGAUUAUCUUCCCAGGCCAGUUUGCCCGAGAAUCUCUCUGAUGCUUUUCAAAACGUUGGUUAUGGCAGCUGGAGAGACAGCGCUGUAAAGGCUGCGCAGCAGGCUUCCAUCAUGAAGUCCCUGAAAAUGUGAUCCUUUAUUGGAAAUAAUCUUCCCUAACCAAAUAUGACGUUGCAGCGUCUGCUGGAAAAGGGGUAUUGUAAAUGUGAGAAAGUUCAGCGCUUGAAUAACCAUGCAAAACUGUAGAGACAGAUUCAGAACAAUGAACUGGCUCCGUGGAUCAUUACUAAUUAUCACUUGUUUCACAGCUAAGUGCAUUAAGUCAUAGAUUUGGGGAAGAUAAAGGAUUUUGCAUCUAGUUUAAGAUAAAAACAACACAUUCAAGAAACAGAACACACCGAGAAUGUGGCCAUCAUUAAAUUGGCUAUGAUUUAGGUAAGGUUGGAGGAUUAUCUAUGUGAAAACAAAUCUCAAAAUGUAUAUGGUACCUACUCAUUCACAUAGGUAUUCAUCUCUGUAUUUUAUUUUUAGUUUUCGUUAUCCUUUGAAUUGUGUGUACAGCUGACAGGAUGGAAGCUUUUACCUGAACCACUGGAACCUUCCCAUCUGCCCCUCAUGGGGUAAAAAGCUUUUGUCAAGGUCAAACAGCCCGUUAAAUUCUGCAGACGUCCUGAAGCUGGAGCCUGUGGGUGACUCCAUUACCCACACUUGCCCCACAGCAGGAUAAUCGGGACCUCAUUAAUGCUCCUUAGGAGAACGACUUUCAGACUGGAACCACUCCAAAGACCAGGAUACCUAAUUAAUAACAGUCAGCAAUAGCUGUCUUGUAUGAAUGCUCUGAGUUACGUUCUGAGAUUGAAGUAAAGCAUCCAACUAUUCCUUUUUUCCAGCCUAAACCCACAGAAACAUUUGUCGAACAGAUCACAUAAGCAUAAUAAAUUUUGGCCCUAAAUGAAAAUGUGAUACACUUAAAGCCCCUUCUAAUGACUUGCAUGUAAAGGUGGUUGAUUGUAUAAUUUUAGAUUUAUGUUAUUAUCCAAUUCACAUUAAAAAUCCAUAGUAAUAACACAAUUUAGUAAUGCUUUAACUAACUUUGAAGCUUUUAUAUAAACAGAAUGAGAACAAAUAACAGGUAGUCAUUUCCCCGCGACAUCCUUGUUUUACUGAAAUAAAUUAGCUCAGUAAGGAAGUGUAGACGAUCAUCAAUUUUCGGAUGUGGCGACGCCUACACCUUCCACCCUGUGAAGGGAGGGCUUAUGAGCAGUUUCGUUUUCUACCAGCAGUCAGAGCUAACCAUGUACACAGGGAAUUAAUUUGCCGGUUGGAUGUGGGAUGUCGGACACGGCACCGGAUGGAUUCCCACGUCAGUGGGCUCUGCGGCAGGUAUGCGUGGAAAAGCCGACCUACAGGGCUGUCCCAUGUCCCUCCCAUAGGAAGCACAGGGUUGGGUUUUUUUGGCUGUUUAUUUGUUUCUCCUAUGCCACUAAGGAAACAAAGUUGCUCUCGUUUGAAUUUUUCUUUCUGUAGUCAUUUCCCGCUCAGCAAACAGAAUUGCGAUGACAU